UACGGAGGAUGCAAGCGUUAUCCGGAUUCAUUGGGUUUAAAGGGUGCGCAGGCGGAUUAAUAAGUCAGUGGUGAAAUCCUACGGCUCAACUGUAGAACUGCCAUUGAUACUGUUAGUCUUGAGUAUUGUUGAGGUAGGCGGAAUGUGUCAUGUAGCGGUGAAAUGCUUAGAUAUGACACAGAACACCAAUCGCGAAGGCAGCUUACCAAGCAAUAACUGACGCUCAUGCACGAAAGCGUGGGGAUCAAACAGG
rnacentral:rRNA from 1 species